AUGGCUCCGCUGGCGCCGGCGCAGCCACAGCAGCACGGGCAGGAGGAAGCGCGAGAACCGGCCCGAGCUCCCGGGGGAAGACGCGUCCACAAGGACGACGAGCACGGCACUGCGACUGCCGGCAGCGCCAUCCAGAAAAUGCGCGUCUUCCAGGAGCCCGGCCCUCGAAGCGAACUCCCUGGACGAGGAGCACACGAUGUCGCCGCCGCCGGGGCCAAAAGGGGCGAGCUUGGCCCGCUUGUGCUUCCUGGUGAAGACUAUCCCGAACCUCCUGCCGCUGCCGGCGUCGCCGAAGUCCUCCGGCUUGGCCAGCGGCGGCCUCUCGCGGCGCUUGCGUCUGUAUACGGCCCCAAAGGACCUCGGCGACAUGGGCGGCUCGGGCGACGGCGUGCGCGGCUUGGGGCCCUCGUCAUCCUCGCCGUCGUCGUCGUCGCUGAUGUCGGCGGCGCGCUCCCACCCGAGCCAGUGGGAGUGGGAGUGGCGGUGGGAGGAGACGGCGAGGCGCUUGGCGGAGCGCGUGACCCUGGCGGGCUCCGGCGGGCGCGGGGCCUGCUUGUGCGCCCGGGGCAGGAAGACGCGCGUGGAGCGCCGCGCCCCGACGGCCGGCAUGGGCGGUGGAGGCGGAGGGAGAUGCGGUACGCGGUCAGAUCCGGCGCGCUGCGUCCUCAUCCAACAUCGACGCCCCGCCGCCGCCCAUCAGACCAUCCUCCUCCUCGGAGUCGAAUCCUCCUCCGCCGCCCCCUCCCUCCCUCCCUCCGCAAGAACCGACCGAAUCGCGCCCGGCGGCAGGACCAGAUCGUGGGACGGACCGGGGCCGACGGAGGCGGCGAGGCGGGACCAGAUCGGGGCGGCGGCCGGGCGGAUCUGCGGCUGGCGGCGGCGGGCGGGGGGCGGAUCGGAGUGGGGGAAGAAAGGGGAUCGAUUUGGGCGAGUGGAUUGGGGAUUUGGGGAUUAGGGUUUCUCUCUCAUCGAGGGGAGGAGAGAGAGAGGGGGGGGUCGCCUCGAGGCCGACGAGAGGUGGAAGAUGACGCGCGCGGAGCCGUCCGAUCGACAUCCGACGGCGCUGAUUGA
rnacentral:rRNA from 1 species